CGGCAGUGGCUUGUGGAAGCGCUGUCGCUCAACGGAUAAAAGGUACCCCGGGGAUAACAGGCUGAUCUUCCCCAAGAGUCCAUAUCGACGGGAUGGUUUGGCACCUCGAUGUCGGCUCGUCGCAUCCUGGGGCUGGAGUCGGUCCCAAGGGUUGGGCUGUUCGCCCAUUAAAGCGGUACGCGAGCUGGGUUUAGAACGUCGUGAGACAGUUCGGUCCCUAUCCGCUGUGCGCGUAGGAAUAUUGAGAAGGGCUGUCCCUAGUACGAGAGGACCGGGACGGACGAACCUCUGGUGUGCCAGUUGUCCUGCCAAGGGCAUGGCUGGUUGGCUACGUUCGGAAAGGAUAACCGCUGAAAGCAUCUAAGCGGGAAGCCUGCUUCGAGAUGAGUAUUCCCACCCUCUUGAAGGGUUAAGGCUCCCAGUAGACGACUGGGUUGAUAGGCCAGAUGUGGAAGCCCUGUAAGGGGUGGAGCUGACUGGUACUAAUAGGCCGAGGGCUUGUCCUCAGUUG
rnacentral:rRNA from 1 species